rnacentral:rRNA from 1 species
GUGAGGAAUUUUCCGCAAUGGGCGAAAGCCUGACGGAGCAAUGCCGCGUGAAGGAUGAAGGCCUAUGGGUUGUAAACUUCUUUUCUCAGAAAAGAAUUAUGACGGUAUCUGAGGAAUAAGCAUCGGCUAACUCUGUGCCAGCAGCCGCGGUAAGACAGAGGAUGCAAGCGUUAUCCGGAAUGAUUGGGCGUAAAGCGUCUGUAGGUUGUUUAAAAAGUAUUCUGUCAAAGAUUAGGGCUUAACCCUAGAUAGGCAGAAUAAACUUUUAAGCUAGAGUGUGGUAGAAGCAGAGGGAAUGCCCGGUGGAGCGGUGAAAUGCGUAGAUAUCGGGAGGAACACCAAAGGCGAAGGCACUCUGCUGGGCCAAUACUAACACUGAGAGACGAAAGCGAGGGGAGCAAAUGGGAUUAGAUACCCUUGUAGUCC